rnacentral:ncRNA from 1 species
GCCGACCUUCGGGGCGGUUUACUCAAUUCAGGCCUAGCCUGAACACAACGGAAGACAGAUA